AGACUAUUAGCUCAAACGGUAAGCAAUGUACAAUAUUAUACAUGGUGUGGGUUCAAACCCCACAUAGUCUA
rnacentral:tRNA from 1 species